rnacentral:rRNA from 1 species
GACGAACGCUGGCGGCGUGCUUAACACAUGCAAGUCGAACGGAAAGGCCCCCACCUUGGUGGGGGUGCUCGAGUGGCGAACGGGUGAGUAACACGUGGGUGAUCUGCCCUGUACUUCGGGAUAAGCUUGGGAAACUGGGUCUAAUACCGGAUAGGACCAUGGUUUAGUGUCUCAUGGUGGAAAGAUUUUUUGGUGCAGGAUGAGCUCGCGGCCUAUCAGCUUGUUGGUGGGGUAAUGGCCUACCAAGGCGUCGACGGGUAGCCGGCCUGAGAGGGUGGACGGCCACAUUGGGACUGAGAUACGGCCCAGACUCCUACGGGAGGCAGCAGUGGGGAAUAUUGCACAAUGGGCGCAAGCCUGAUGCAGCGACGCCGCGUGGGGGAUGACGGCCUUCGGGUUGUAAACUCCUUUCGUUAGGGACGAAGCCGCACCUUUUU